AAAUUGAAGAGUUUGAUCAUGGCUCAGAUUGAACGCUGGCGGCAGGCCUAACACAUGCAAGUCGAACGGUAACAGGAAGCAGCUUGCUGCUUUGCUGACGAGUGGCGGACGGGUGAGUAAUGUCUGGGAAACUGCCUGAUGGAGGGGGAUAACUACUGGAAACGGUGGCUAAUACCGCAUAACGUCGCAAGACCAAAGAGGGGGACCUUCGGGCCUCUUGCCAUCAGAUGUGCCCAGAUGGGAUUAGCUAGUUGGUGAGGUAACGGCUCACCAAGGCGACGAUCCCUAGCUGGUCUGAGAGGAUGACCAGCCACACUGGAACUGAGACACGGUCCAGACUCCUACGGGAGGCAGCAGUGGGGAAUAUUGCACAAUGGGCGCAAGCCUGAUGCAGCCAUGCCGCGUGUAUGAAGAAGGCCUUCGGGUUGUAAAAGUACUUUCAGCGGGGAGGAAGGUGUUGAGGUUAAUAACCGCAGCAAUUGACGUUACCCGCAGAAGAAGCACCGGCUAACUCCGUGCCAGCAGCCGCGGUAAUACGGAGGGUGCAAGCGUUAAUCGGAAUUACUGGGCGUAAAGCGCACGCAGGCGGUCUGUCAAGUCGGAUGUGAAAUCCCCGGGCUCAACCUGGGAACUGCAUUCGAAACUGGCAGGCUUGAGUCUUGUAGAGGGGGGUAGAAUUCCAGGUGUAGCGGUGAAAUGCGUAGAGAUCUGGAGGAAUACCGGUGGCGAAGGCGGCCCCCUGGACAAAGACUGACGCUCAGGUGCGAAAGCGUGGGGAGCAAACAGGAUUAGAUACCCUGGUAGUCCACGCCGUAAACGAUGUCUACUUGGAGGUUGUGCCCUUGAGGCGUGGCUUCCGGAGCUAACGCGUUAAGUAGACCGCCUGGGGAGUACGGCCGCAAGGUUAAAACUCAAAUGAAUUGACGGGGGCCCGCACAAGCGGUGGAGCAUGUGGUUUAAUUCGAUGCAACGCGAAGAACCUUACCUGGUCUUGACAUCCACAGAAGAAUCCAGAGAUGGAUUUGUGCCUUCGGGAACUGUGAGACAGGUGCUGCAUGGCUGUCGUCAGCUCGUGUUGUGAAAUGUUGGGUUAAGUCCCGCAACGAGCGCAACCCUUAUCCUUUGUUGCCAGCGGUUAGGCCGGGAACUCAAAGGAGACUGCCAGUGAUAAACUGGAGGAAGGUGGGGAUGACGUCAAGUCAUCAUGGCCCUUACGACCAGGGCUACACACGUGCUACAAUGGCGCAUACAAAGAGAAGCGACCUCGCGAGAGCAAGCGGACCUCAUAAAGUGCGUCGUAGUCCGGAUUGGAGUCUGCAACUCGACUCCAUGAAGUCGGAAUCGCUAGUAAUCGUGGAUCAGAAUGCCACGGUGAAUACGUUCCCGGGCCUUGUACACACCGCCCGUCACACCAUGGGAGUGGGUUGCAAAAGAAGUAGGUAGCUUAACCUUCGGGAGGGCGCUUACCACUUUGUGAUUCAUGACUGGGGUGAAGUCGUAACAAGGUAACCGUAGGGGAACCUGCGGUUGGAUCACCUCCUUA
rnacentral:rRNA from 1 species